rnacentral:rRNA from 1 species
UUCCGGUUGAUCCUGCCGGAGGCCACUGCUAUGGGGGUCCGACUAAGCCAUGCGAGUCAUGGGGCGCCUUGUGCGCACCGGCGGACGGCUCAGUAACACGUCGGUAACCUACCCUCGGGAGGGGGAUAACCCCGGGAAACUGGGGCUAAUCCCCCAUAGGCCUGAGGUACUGGAAGGUCCUCAGGCCGAAAGGGGCUCUGCCCGCCCGAGGAUGGGCCGGCGGCCGAUUAGGUAGUUGGUGGGGUAACGGCCCACCAAGCCGAAGAUCGGUACGGGCCAUGAGAGUGGGAGCCCGGAGAUGGACACUGAGACACGGGUCCAGGCCCUACGGGGCGCAGCAGGCGCGAAACCUCCGCAAUGCGGGCAACCGCGACGGGGGGACCCCCAGUGCCGUGGCAUCGCCACGGCUUUUCCGGAGUGUAAAGAGCUCCGGGAAUAAGGGCUGGGCAAGGCCGGUGGCAGCCGCCGCGGUAAUACCGGCGGCCCGAGUGGUGGCCGCUAUUAUUGGGCCUAAAGCGUCCGUAGCCGGGCCCGUAAGUCCCUGGCGAAAUCCCACGGCUCAACCGUGGGGCUUGCUGGGGAUACUGCGGGCCUUGGGACCGGGAGAGGCGGAGGGUACUCCUGGGGUAGGGGUGAAAUCCUAUAAUCCCAGGAGGACCGCCAGUGGCGAAGGCGCUCCGCUGGAACGGGUCCGACGGUGAGGGACGAAGGCCAGGGGAGCGAACCGGAUUAGAUACCCGGGUAGUCCUGGCUGUAAAGGAUGCGGGCUAGGUGUCGGGCGAGCUUCGUGCUCGCCCGGUGCCGAAGGGAAGCCGUUAAGCCCGCCGCCUGGGGAGUACGGCCGCAAGGCUGAAACUUAAAGGAAUUGGCGGGGGAGCACUACAAGGGGUGGAGCGUGCGGUUUAAUUGGAUUCAACGCCGGG